rnacentral:lncRNA from 1 species
CUUAGUCCCGGGUCUGAGCAACUUCCAAGCCUGUGAAUAGCGUUGGGCUUCUCUCCAGAAGGUCACGGGCAGACUCUGCUGCAAGGGACAGAUAGACAACACUCUGAUCUGGAAGCCCACAGACAUGAAGCUGACGGUUUUUAUUAUUUAGAACAAUUAAGAACUCCAUUUACAAAGGCUGGAGAGAUGGAUCAGAGGUUAAGAGCACUGACUGCUCUUCCAGAGGUCCUGAGUUCAAUUCCCAGCAACCACAUGGUGGCUCACAACCGUCCGUUAUGAGAUCUGGUGCCCUCUUCUGGUGUGCAGAUAUACAUGGAAGCAGAAUGUUGUG